UACGAAGGGGGCUAGCGUUGCUCGGAAUCACUGGGCGUAAAGGGUGCGUAGGCGGGUUCUAAGUCAGAGGUGAAAUCCUGGAGCUCAACUCCAGAACUGCCUUUGAUACUGGCGAUCUUGAGUCCGGGAGAGGUGAGUGGAACUGCGAGUGUAGAGGUGAAAUUCGUAGAUAUUCGCAAGAACACCAGUGGCGAAGGCGGCUCACUGGCCCGGUACUGACGCUGAGGUGCGAAAGCGUGGGGAGCAAACAGGG
rnacentral:rRNA from 1 species